GCGGGGGUGCCGGAGUGGCCAAUGAAAAUCGGAGAUUUUCAAGCUCGAAAACUCCGUUUUCGACCAAACGGGACGGACUCAAGAGUGCGCAUCAUGGCACACUGAUAAAUCCGUUGGCUUAGUGCCUACGAGGGUUCAAAUCCCUUCCCCCGCA
rnacentral:tRNA from 2 species